AUGUUAGACAUAUACAGAUUUAAGCAUCAACUCAUUAAGUCGCUUUCGAGAAGUUUAUUAUUAAAGGAAGAAACUAGAAGGUAUCAUGUGACUCAAGCAAUGCAACAGAUAUGAAACAAAACUUUAACACCAAAAAAGUUUUGGAAUAGAUAUUUCAACAGCAGCUUCAAAACAUCGAAUUUAUCCAAGAAAUUAAAAAAACCGAAAGCCCGAAACUGCUAUUCAAGAAACAAACAACAAAUUCGAGCUCUAACGACAGAAAUACAUAAAAUACGACGACUAAAUCGAAACUGCUAUUCAAGAAACAAACCAGAAAGAUGACCUAAAAGUUCCGAAUUGGACUUUAAAAUAUCAAAUUUUCAAGAAAUUAGAGCUCUAAAGACAGAAAUACAAGAAAUACGACGACUAAACCGAAAAUGUAAUUCAAGCAAUGCAAUAUAAUACAAGAAAAUUUCAAGAAACAAACCAGAAAGGUUGGUUAUAAGUUUCGAAUUCGACUUCAAAAUUUCAAUAUGUUCAAGAAUAUAUGCCAAAACUGCUAGAAAAACAAUGCAGCACAAGAAAGUUUCAAUAAACCAACCAUAAAGAUUACCUAAAAGUUUCGAAUUCGACUUCAAAACAUCGAAUCAUUCAAGAAAUUAGAGAUCCAAAGACAAAAAACUCAAGAAAACUUCAAAACACUAAAUACACUUUUGACAAUUUGGCAUAAAUAAUUCUACUUCUCCUUUAAAAGUUAACUUUUAUUUAAAUAAUAAUUAGACCUCUGAAUAUAAAAUCACACAUCUAAUAUCUUGCUCAAAUUGCACAAAAAAGGACCACCUUCACGGCUUCACAAAUAGCAUAAUUCACACAACAAACAAACAAAAAUAUAUAAUUUACUCUUCAUCUGAACUCCAUACCCAAAACAGAAACACACCCUUAAACAACAUUGCUGAAAUUAAACCAUAAAAACAAUAAAAACACCACAAAACUUUCAACAAUACAACCAAAUUUGACAAACAUUUAUGAAUGAGUUGGAGAUAAAAUUAUCUUUUUUUUCUCAUCUAAAUCCCAUUCCCAAAAAGAAACAGACCCUUGAACAAAAUUGCUGAAAUCAUAACAUAAAAACAACCAAAUGUGUCAAGCAUUAU
rnacentral:lncRNA from 1 species